UGUAAGCGUAUACCAAAGUUGUUGCAGUUAAAACGCUCGUAGUCGAAUUUUGGUGUGAGUUAUGGAGACUCCUACUGGAUGUUGAAGUAACUUCGCCUUUGUGGAGGGGGGUGUGGUGGUACUUUAUUGUAUUGCUGCAUUUCCGCCACUGUUUACUGUGAAAAAAUUAGAGUGUUCAAAGCGAGCGUUUGCCAUGAAUACAUUAGCAUGGAAUAAUAGAAUAGGACCUGGUUCUGUUUUAUUGGUUUGUCUGUAUCAGGUAAUGAUUAACAGGGACGGUCGGGGGUAUUUGUAUUCCAGCGUUAGAGGUGAAAUUCUUGGAUCGCUGGAAGACAGACAGCUGCGAAAGCGUCUACCAAGGACGUUUUCAUUG
rnacentral:rRNA from 1 species